CAAGUUUCUGGUUAUGUUCAUGGAAUCAGUUCUGACUUACACAGAUCAUCACGACCUAAAUCAACUGAGUUUAGUUAUCCACCAACAGGACAUGUUAGAAAUAUGGAUACGAUAGGGGGAAGACACCUUCCAAUGUUAGAAGGAAGAGGAGGCUACUUAAACGGUGGAAUAGAUUUUCUGGGAAGAGCUGGUGGUGUUGGUGGAACCAGUUGUGAUUUGCAGAGAUCAUUGCGGUCUGAAUCAACUGUGUUUGGGCAUCCACAAACAGAUUAUGUUAUGAAUAUGGAUAUGAUUCUGGGGAAACAAGUUUCUGGUUAUGUUCAUGGAAUCAGCUCUGACUUACACAGAUCAUCACGACCUAAAUCAACUGAGUUUAGUUAUCCACCAACAGGACAUGUUAGAAAUAUGGAUAUGAUUGGGGGGGAGAUUUUUUUCUGAAUAUGUUCAUGGAAUUAGUUCUGACUUGCAGAGACGCUCAUGGCCUGAAUCCAGUAAUGUUGUGCAUCUUGGAACUGAUACCCUUAGGCCCUACUAUGCCGGUUGGUCCUAGAGUUGGAAAUGAAGCCUCUCAAUUUGUGGUUCUGGUUGCUAAACCUUUGUUUUGUGGCUUUGUUGGUUAUCUUUUAGGUUCUUUUGUUGGCCUGCAGCUACUAGCUGCACUGUGAAGCUGUGCAAUUUGAUGUUAACUUGGA